rnacentral:rRNA from 1 species
UACGGAGGGUGCAAGCGUUAUCCGGAUUUACUGGGUUUAAAGGGUGUGUAGGCGGGCUUUUAAGUCAGUGGUGAAAUCUCCGGGCUCAACCUGGAAACUGCCAUUGAUACUAUUAGUCUUGAAUUUUGUUGAGGUAGGCGGAAUAAGUCAUGUAGCGGUGAAAUGCAUAGAUAUGACUUAGAACACCAAUUGCGAAGGCAGCUUGCUAAACAAAUAUUGACGCUGAGGCACGAAAGCGUGGGGAUCGAACAGG